CCCUCCUACAAAGGCAUGCUACUGUUCCCUGACGUUGGACAUGUAAGAAUUGGAGGUAAAGAAAUGUGGGCUUGGAAUGUCUGGGACCAGCUUUGCUCCCCGUAGGCUCAAGAUGAACCAUCCCACAUAG